UCCGGGUUGGUCCCGGCGGUCCCGCUAGACACCGUAACUAGCGGCAGGGGUUGCGCUCGUUGCGGGACUUAACCCAACACCUCACGGCACGAGCUGACGACAGCCGUGCAGCACCUGUGCAAGCUCCCCUUGCGGGGUCGUCCCACUUUCAUGGUUCUACCACUUGCAUGUCAAGGCCAGGUAAGGUUCUUCGCGUUGCAUCGAAUUAAGCCACAUACUCCACCGCUUGUGCAGGCCCCCGUCAAUUUCUUUGAGUUUUAAUCUUGCGACCGUACUUCCCAGGCGGUGCACUUAACGCGUUAGCUUCGCCACAAAAGGGGUCGAUUCCUUUUACAGCAAGUGCACACCGUUUACGGCUAGGACUAC
rnacentral:misc_RNA from 1 species